ACUGCCUAGCAUGGGAAUCAGGUGGCCCUGCUGCUCGAAUUGUAGUCAAUAGAAGAGUCCUCAGCUACGGAUUGGGCACAAGUCCUCAGGAAGGGGGCACUAGAGAGGGUGAGAGCCCCGUCAUGCACGGACCCUGCCACGCCAUGAGGAGCUGUCGGCAAGUCGGGUUGUUUGGAAAUACAACCCUAAUUGGGCGGUAAAUUCCGUCCAAGGCUAAAUAUCAACGAGAGAUCGAUAGCGAACAAGUUCA
rnacentral:ncRNA from 1 species